rnacentral:rRNA from 1 species
CACGUAGGGGGCAAGCGUUGUCCGGAUUUAUUGGGCGUAAAGAGCUCGUAGGCGGCUCGGUAAGUUGGGUGUUAAACCCCAGCUUAACCUGGGGACGCCACCCGAUACUGCCGUGGCUAGAGUCCGGUAGGGGAGCGUGGAAUUCCUGGUGUAGCGGUGAAAUGCGCAGAUAUCAAGUGGAACACCAGUGGCGAAGGCGAAUCCCUGGAAAAUACCUGACACUGAGGCACGAAAGCUAGGGGAGCAAACAGG